rnacentral:rRNA from 1 species
CGAACGCUGGCGGCAGGCCUAAUACAUGCAAGUCGAACGGCUCUUCGGAGCAGUGGCGGACGGGUGAGUAACGCGUGGGAAUGUGCCCUUAGGUACGGAACAACACAGGGAAACUUGUGCUAAUACCGUAUGUGCCUUUCGGGGGAAAGAUUUAUCGCCUUUGGAGCAGCCCGCGUUGGAUUAGGUAGUUGGUGAGGUAAAGGCUCACCAAGCCGACGAUCCAUAGCUGGUCUGAGAGGAUGACCAGCCACACUGGGACUGAGACACGGCCCAGACGCCUACGGGAGGCAGCAGUAGGGAAUCUUGCGCAAUGGGCGAAAGCCUGACGCAGCCAUGCCGCGUGUAUGAUGAAGGUCUUAGGAUUGUAAAAUACUUUCACCGGGGAAGAUAAUGACGGUACCCGGAGAAGAAGCCCCGGCUAACUUCGUGCCAGCCGCCGCAGUAA